rnacentral:rRNA from 1 species
GUGCCAGCCGCCGCGGUAAUACCAGCCCCGCGAGUGGUAGGGACUCUUGCUGGGCCUAAAGCGCCCGUAGCCGGCCCGGUAAGUCCCUCCUUAAAGCCCCGGGCUCAACCCGGGGAGCGGGGGGAUACUGCCGGGCUAGGGGGCGGGAGAGGCCGGGGGUACCCCAGGGGUAGGGGCGAAAUCCGAUAAUCCCUGGGGGACCACCAGUGGCGAAGGCGCCCGGCUGGAACGCGCCCGACGGUGGGGGGCGAAAGCCGGGGGAGCGAACCGGAUUAGAUACCCGGGUAGUCCCGGCUGUAAACUAUGCGGGCCAGGUGUCGGGCGGGCGUUAGAGCCCGCCCGGUGCCGCAGGGAAGCCGUUAAGCCCGCCGCCUGGGGAGUACGGCCGCAAGGCUGAAACUUAAAGGAAUUGGCGGGGGGGCACACAAGGGGUGGAGCCUGCGGCUCAAUUGGAGUCAACGCCGGGAACCUCUACCGGGGGCGACAGCAGGAUGACGGCCAGGCUAACGACCUUGCCCGACGCGCUGAGGGGAGGUGCAUGGCCGUCGCCAGCUCGUGCUGUGAAGUGUCCUGUUAAGUCAGGCAACGAGCGAGACCCCCGCCCCUAGUUGCGACCCUGCGGGCGACCGCGGGGGCACACUAGGGGGACUGCCGCCGCUAAGGCGGAGGAAGGAGGGGGCCACGGCAGGUCAGUAUGCCCCGAAACCCCGGGGCUGCACGCGAGCUGCAAUGGCGGGGACAGCGGGAUCCGACCCCGAAAGGGGGAGGUAAUCCCGUAAACCCCGCCCCAGUAGGGAUCGAGGGCUGUAACUCGCCCUCGUGAACGUGGAAUCCCUAGUAACCGCGUGUCACCAACGCGCGGUGAAUACGUCCCUGCCCCUUGUACACACCGCCCGUC